UGGGAGGUAAAUUUCUCCUAAGGCUAAAUAUUGGCGAGAGACCGAUAGCGAACAAGUACCGUGAGGGAAAGAUGAAAAGAACUUUGAAAAGAGAGUUAAAAAGUACGUGAAAUUGUUGAAAGGGAAACGAUUGAAGUCAGUCGUACCGACGAGAAAUCAGCUUUUCGAAUGUGCAUUUGUGGGCGUAUGAGAUCUUCAUUGUUUGCAAUAUGCGUAUUUCUUUGGUGUACUUUUUCGUAUGGUAGGACAACGUCGGUUUUGAUCGCCAUAAAAUGAUCGGAGGAAUGUAGCUUCGACUUCGGUUGAAGUGUUAUAGCCUUUGGUAAAUGUGGUGAUUAGGACCGAGGAUUGCAACGAAUAUCUUUUAGGCUAUCCGUCUGACCUCUGAAAGUUACUUGGGUGUCGAAAGCUUGCUUACGGCCAUUCAAGUUGACGGUUAAAAGGUUAGAACGUGAUUACAUUCGUUAAGGACGUUGACGUAAUGGCUUUAAACGACCCGUCUUGAAACACGGACCAAGGAGUCUAACAUAUAUGCGAGUGUUCGGGUGUUCAAACCCUUACGCGUAAUGAAAGUAAUUCAGGUGGGAUCGCAUUCGUGUGCACCAUCGACC
rnacentral:rRNA from 1 species